CCAGUACUGGAUUAUAAACAAAAAUAACUUACAACUGCCAAGCGGAAGCCACUUGCACCGGAACGAACAACUUCACACAAAACUCCAGGCAAAGAAUCAUGAAUUGUGAAAUUUUCCAGCUGAAAGAACUGGAUGUGGAUCAAUUUGAGAUACGAGAAGUUCUACGAUGCAUUUUUCAUACAAUCGUGUUCCAUAGAGCAUUAGGUUUGGUGCAGCCAAAGGAGAUUGAUUUGGAACUUUUUGACAUUACAUAUCAGGUGCAGUGUGGUGAUGUUGAAGUUGAGAGGAAAAUUGAUGAGAAGAUUACCCAGUUCAUUGAUAGGGUGGAGAAGCACCCCAACCGGAAACACCAGAUCUGCUUGUCCUUCUAUGAAGUAAGAAACAAACAGGCCACAUGGUUCACAAACAAAGUUGAACGUCACUAUUGGGAACACUGGUAUGUAAAUUUGAGUGUGGCUCAUCAUCCAAAAGCAGAUUCUGGCAAGUCUCAUCACCCCAAAGUUGUUAACGCGGGAGAGAGUGCAUCUGAGGAGAGGGAUGCUCAGCGCUCAGGACUGGAAUCAUCUCUUCGUGAAGUUCUGUUUCAGAUCAUCAAAUUUGGAAAUGAAAAGAAGGACCAUAUUCCCUCAGUACCAAAUAUUGAAGGUGCCUCGUUUCCCUUUGAAAUCACUAUCUCAAGUUCAUCAGAUUCUGCUUUUGGGAUGGAAAUGCUCAAGAGAAUGCUCCAGACAGGGCAUCCAAACAUGCUCAGCUGAUUGGCAGUGCCGUAAAUGGGGGCUGGUUCUCUUUUUCUUCUUGGUUGGUGAGCAAAUGCCCUUUGAUCGAAAUCAAAAUGGACAUGGUCAUCUGGAGUUUGCAGUUGCACCCUGGGCUCCUCUUCCUUUAGGCCAUUGUUUGUGUUUGGUUAUUGUCUGAUGUUUGUGAUAGGGACUUGCUGAUAUGCUCCGGCUCCGCUCCUGAACUUCUAUCCCAUGAAUUGCGUUUUGUACAAUGAAGUCCAUUGAAGUCUUGUAGAGCUGCUCAUCACGGUCGGCCUGCCAAAAGUCUGCUUGUCUGCAACCCAAAUGCAAGUCCUGCUU